GUCCCUGUAGGGCAAUGGAUCGCGCGUUGGACUUCUAAUACAAAGGUCAUGGGUUCGAAUCCCACCUGGGAUU